UCAGGCAUGUCCUUAUAGCAGCGUGAGUAUGGACUAAUACAGCGCUGUACCCUACUGUGCCUGAGCUCUUACCUAUGCUGUAAGACAAAAUACCCUUUUAAUUUUCCCUUUCCUUUUCUCAAUCAGAAAUAGUUUCUCCCUAUGGCCACCACAGCUGAGAAUGUGUUAGGUCACACCUAAAGCAAGCACAUCUCUGAGUCUCACCUAUGGCCCAUGGUGAGCACUGCCUGGGUAUCACUGCUGAUUAUUCAGGGACCAAGGACGCUUUAGUCAGCACGUGAUGAAUCCUGCUGCGACUGAGUCCUUCCUUUCAAGGAAGAGGGUUUGUUUCCUCCCACCCCAGUGUAUGUUUGGAAAUGUCACCUGGAAGCUAGGGCCUGGAAUAGGGGCCUCAGUACUCUGCCUGGUACCAUGUCGUACUGUGGCUGAGCUAAUACCCAAGUUGGAAUACAAAGUCCUCUUUACUUUUCUGUCUCUUCUCCUCAAGCAGAGGGAAAGAGCCUCUCCUGGAGCUGCAAGUUGAGUUUUCUGGCAUUGGGCUAAGGGUGGCACAAGCACUCCUUUGGCCACCCCUGCUGGCAUCUCACUGGGUCAUAUCCCCACCAAGUUUACUGGCUCUGAGCCCAGCACAGUACCAAGACUUGACCAGGAAUUGCAGCCUUUGUGGCUUAAGCCACUUUUCAAAGUUAUAUAGGACCACAGAGUACUUUAUUAGCCUGUGGUGGUGGAGCUGCAAGAAUUCAGGUUCUAACCACUUGGAUUAACAAUUUUCCUCUGGCUGGGGCUAGCAUAAUUGCUCCUUCUGCAGGUGCUGGCUGAGUUCUGCCUGGUGUUACUAUCCACUGUGACAGAGAAGCACUGAGUUCCAAUUCAGAAUCCCACAAUCACUGCUGUCUCCGUGCCCUAGGCACAUAGAUUCUCCAUGCCACAGCGCUGCUGCUGGGUGGUGGUGGUGUGGGGGCGGUGUGGUUGCCUUUCCUACCCUCUUCAGUGCCUCUUUCAGUGAUGCGAAGCUAAAACCAGGUUACAUAUUAUGGAUGAUUUAAGAUUCAGUUUUGCAGUAAAGCACUUGUUGAUGUGUAUGCAUAUCCCACAAGGACAUGUUGAAUGUAAUCUACAUUUAUAACCUAUGGAAACUGCUUCUUCCUUUUGCAGUUAUACAGAAGUGAAAAGGUGAAAUACAAGUUGGGGAGGCACCAAGACAUCAAAGGAAUGAAGCACAAGAUGCAAGUUCAGAAUACAGUAGUAGAGAUGCCUUUGGUUCAUGUGUACCUGAUUGAGACAGUUGUAAUUUUUCAGAAUGAAUCAGUUUUAAGUAUUAAAAUACCGAAAGGUAUGUUUACGAUUUAGAAAAAGAACAAUCCAUAAGCGUAUUUUUCCCCUUUGCUUCUUGAUGAGUUUUUGUCUCAUUGAGUCAUCAGAAUACAUUGUGUUUAUUGGAAUUUGAUAUAUUACACUUUGGCGUGGGCCAGAAGACAAACUACCACAUAUGAUCCUUCAUUCCUCGGAUUGUGAUCAGUCAGCCAUGAUUAAAUAGCUUUGGUUGUAGAGAAUCUUAGUGAGAAGGUAAACAUGUAUGCAUAAUAUCUGAAACUGGAACCACAAGAGGAAGCAAAAUAAUGAUCAAGGCAUAUUGGUUUUAUCAAUAGUAUUGCAGUCUUUAGUUUGAACAAAAAUAUUUUCUGCUAUUAUGAUUAAGUAAGCUAAAGAAAAUUACAGCUUGUCUUCACCAUUUGCUAAAAACAUACAUAAGGAUAUUGGCAAGAGCACAGGAAAAAAAGCAAAAUCCAUCUAGAUUUACUAAAAUUAUGUGAGAAUAAUGUUUGACAAGGAUGUCUGGAUUAAACUGAAGCCUAAUCUCCAACAUUUAAAGCAUGUAGCUAGUUAUUUUUUAUUUUUAUUAACAUUUACAUUGUUGAAAAAAAAAGUUUAUUAAUGUGUUGAAAAAAAAAAAGUUUAUUAAUGUGGAGUGAGAAUAGGAUUCCUUGUUAAGGGAUGGGUAAAAUAGAAAGGUAGGAGAGAUUCAAAAAAUAUGGUUUUUUGAAAACCCAGAAGAGUUGGGAAAACAGGUACUGGAAUUCCACCUCCAAUUACACUUCAAGCCUGCUAAAAUUCAACAGGUGAAUAGUUGCCUCAGAUCUGCUUACCCAGAGCAAAUGCCACUUAAUCCAAUAUGAAGAUAAUAAUAAUAAUGUAACUUAAAAAUAAAUAGAGUGUCCACACAUGAGCGAAGACCUUGCAAAGUAUCAAGCUCUCUGCCACCAGUAGUGUUCACAUAGAGAUGAGAUAAUCAUUGCAGUGGUGGGUGAUAGAAUAAAUUCUUUCAUCUGUUGGAGGGUAAGCAUGCUGUCUUUGAAGUCCUCUCCAACUAUGACUGUGUAACUUUGAUAUAAUUAAGCACAUGAUGAUUUCCACUUGCUGCCUGUAAAUCUUAUUUUUUGUCUUUUAAAGAUGCUUCCUAAUUUCAUUUGAAAUUCCAUUUUUUCAUUUUUCUAGCUGUGAGUUCCUUGUCCUAGGCAGAUAACGAUUGGUUAAAAAAAAUUGAAUAAAAGUGUGAUUUAAGUACAGUUUACCAUUGAUUUAAAUUUACACAAAUAAUUCCCAUUAUAUUUUUAGUGUAUUAAAUUAGGCAUAUGUGGAUAAUAAAAAAUAACUUGGGUUUGCCAUAUAUUAUAAAUUGCUUUUUCUUACUACAGACAUUAACAUCUGCUUGUACUUAAUUUUUUAUUCAGGGGUAGCUUAUUUAAGUCUUUUUCAGGUGGAUAAAACAGGCAUGUGGUCAAGGUUACUUAAGCUACUACACUGUAAUUGUCUCACUAUUGAUUACUUAAUGAUUUUCUGUCCCUUUUAUUUGGAUUCUAUGCAUAGGUAGGCCCUCGAGGGGACUGGUUAGUGUAUAAUCCAGCUUUGUCUGGUCUUCAAAUGCUACAGUUUUACAUGAAACAAAAAUAACAGCAUCAUAAUAAAUAACUCAAAGCAUAUCAUCACCUUUCUAAGUAUCUGCAUGUCUAACUCUGUCAAGAUUAAUCUCUCUGUGUUCUCCAGCUGCUUAGUUGAUGCUACUGCUUCUGAAAUAGGUCUGGUCUUAAGUAUCAGCCCUGUGACUUCAUUGCUCACUCCUGGAGCCAUCUCUACAAAAAUUUAUUUGCCAAACC